AUAUAUGAUUGCUCCUCGUGCAGCACACAAAUCGACGUCUUAGCUGUCGCUUCCCAUAUGUCUACCCAGUCCUCUCCUUCCAGUGCCCCACCCAGGUCCGCUUCCCAUUGGUGUAUGUACCUUGGCUCUUCUGCUCCCUUUUCAGGGGCGCUGAGCUGCGCGUAUAUGACCUGUUACAAACUGCCAUUUGUAACUGUUAUUUUAUUUGACAAAUUGCCCUGCUUCCCUGUUUUAUGGAGAAGCCUAAUUGCCAGCCUUCUGCCCCAUGACUAUGGACCUAGUGUGUA